UGUGCUGUCCAUAAAUAAUAAUUAAUAAUUUUAUUAUACCAUUCCGUAUCUUUGCCUUGCACAUAAUUGUUAUGACAGAUUUCCUAACCUCUCGUAAUGACAGCGUAAUUAUUUAUUUUUUAUUUUUAAAGAGUCAAACUUGACUGUAAAUUCUCCAAAUUUUUUUUUCCGGACGAAGUGUCAUUGCACUCGUAACAGACAAAACGUAAUGUAAUCAGAAAGUAUGAAAACAUGUCAGUUAAAUAUAAAGUUAAAUUAAUUGUAAUUUUCAUCUGAAACAAAUAUUUCUUUGAGUUUCAAUUAGAUACAUCACAAUUUCAUGAUGAAUCAUAUCUUUGUUAUAGAUAGCAUAUCGUGAUAUUUUGUGCAAUAUCUCCAUCAGUUCUGUGAAAGAAGUCUUUUACAAUAUAUAACAGAACUGAGAGCCACAUAUCCUACGCAUCUAUAGUAAUUUGCACAACAGGCCUGUCAUC